UACGUAGGGUGCAAGCGUUGUCCGGAAUCAUUGGGCGUAAAGCGCGCGUAGGUGGCCAUUUAAGUCCGCUGUGAAAGUCAAAGGCUCAACCUUUGAAAGCCGGUGGAUACUGGAUGGCUAGAGUACGGAAGAGGCGAGUGGAAUUCCUGGUGUAGCGGUGGAAUGCGCAGAUAUCAGGAGGAACACCAAUAGCGAAGGCAGCUCGCUGGGACGUACUGACACUGAGGCGCGAAAGCGUGGGGAGCGAAC
rnacentral:rRNA from 1 species